GAUAAACGCUGGCGGCGUGCCUAAUACAUGCAAGUCGAGCGAACGGACGAGAAGCUUGCUUCUCUGAUGUUAGCGGCGGACGGGUGAGUAACACGUGGAUAACCUACCUAUAAGACUGGGAUAACUUCGGGAAACCGUAGCUAAUACCGGAUAAUAUUUUGAACCGCAUGGUUCAAAAGUGAAAGACGGUCUUGCUGUCACUUAUAGAUGGAUCCGCGCUGCAUUAGCUAGUUGGUAAGGUAACGGCUUACCAAGGCAACGAUGCAUAGCCGACCUGAGAGGGUGAUCGGCCACACUGGAACUGAGACACGGUCCAGACUCCUACGGGAGGCAGCAGUAGGGAAUCUUCCGCAAUGGGCGAAAGCCUGACGGAGCAACGCCGCGUGAGUGAUGAAGGUCUUCGGAUCGUAAAACUCUGUUAUUAGGGAAGAACAUAUGUGUAAGUAACUGUGCACAUCUUGACGGUACCUAAUCAGAAAGCCACGGCUAACUACGUG
rnacentral:rRNA from 1 species